GACGAACGCUGGCGGCGUGCUUAACACAUGCAAGUCGAACGGAAAGGCCCUGCUUUUGUGGGGUGCUCGAGUGGCGAACGGGUGAGUAACACGUGAGUAACCUGCCCUUGACUUUGGGAUAACUUCAGGAAACUGGGGCUAAUACCGGAUAGGAGCUCCUGCUGCAUGGUGGGGGUUGGAAAGUUUCGGCGGUUGGGGAUGGACUCGCGGCUUAUCAGCUUGUUGGUGGGGUAGUGGCUUACCAAGGCUUUGACGGGUAGCCGGCCUGAGAGGGUGACCGGCCACAUUGGGACUGAGAUACGGCCCAGACUCCUACGGGAGGCAGCAGUGGGGAAUAUUACACAAUGGGCGGAAGCCUGAUGCAGCAACGCCGCGUGCGGGAUGACGGCCUUCGGGUUGUAAACCGCUUUCGCCUGUGACGAAGCGUGAGUGACGGUAAUGGGUAAAGAAGCAUCGGCUAACUACGUG
rnacentral:rRNA from 1 species